UGCGUAGGCGGUUGAUUAAGUCAGCGGUGAAAGUUUUGGGCUCAACCCAGAAAUUGCCAUUGAUACUGGUCGACUUGAGUAUUGCAGGGGUACAUGGAAUUGAUGGUGUAGCGGUGAAAUGCAUAGAUACCAUCAGGAACACCGAUAGCGAAGGCAUUGUACUGGGCAACCACUGACGCUGAUGCACGAAAGCAUGGGGAGCGAACAGGAUUAGAUACCCUGGUAGUCC
rnacentral:rRNA from 1 species